ACGCUGAGGUCAGUGUGACAUCACAACAGCCAAAACAGAAACACGGGUGCCGGAGACUCGUAGGUGUAGGAGAUCAGGCCACAGCUCCUCUGUGCCUCUUUGAACUGCCUGGGGACGAAAGAGGGGACUGCAAACUUAUCAGGCUGGCCUAGACACGGAAGUAUUUCAGAGGCAGGGUCGCUGUGAAGGACCCCUGACUCACAGCCUCACCCUGAGCUUCCCAAAGGCCAUAGGAUAGGAGGUCAUGAGCUGCCUCAAGCCUGCAAAUGAAGCAUACUGCAGAGAAAAUUAAGUGGACUUCCGGGUGAUAGGCAAGGGCUCUGACGAGAAGGCGCCCAUGAAGCUCAAGUCAGCGGGGGAAAGCCCGACAUCGCUGCCUGAAAGCUUGUCACAGCUGAGACCUCGCACACGCCAAGGACACGUGCGGACGGCUGGGAUCCUCCUCUGCUGUGCCCACCCAAGGACAGCCAGCUUUUCUGCAGAGGCUUCUGCUGUUAUUCCCUGUUGCUGAUUAACCCCUUCCUAGGCCACAAGCACGUUCACUCGUCACGGCACGGCCUCAGCCCCUGCUGGGCAACACUGUGUGACCACUUGGACCUGAUUCCACAGCAGGCACGGGGGGUAAUUCUGAUAGCCUGGUAUAAAAUCUCUCCUUUGGGACCUUAAAUAAGACAGUAACUUACUACAAUCUCUCCCUUCUAUCACAAGUGCUUCCCUUUGUGAAAAUUCAGGACCAGGCGUUGGGAAAGAGAACCACGGCACACGGCACAGAAGG